rnacentral:rRNA from 1 species
ACUUAUUAGCCAUAUCGAUGUAAAAAAUGUCUAAACCCAAAGACUGAUCUCGGAAGCUAAGCAGGAUCGGGCCUGGCUAGUACUUGGAUGGGAGACCACCUAGGAAGACCAGGUACCGUAGGUG